UACGAAGGGAGCUAGCGUUGUUCGGAAUCACUGGGCGUAAAGCGCACGUAGGCGGAUGUGUCAGUCAGGGGUGAAAUCCCGGGGCUCAACCUCGGAACUGCCUUUGAUACAGCACGUCUUGAGUCCGAUAGAGGUGGGUGGAAUUCCUAGUGUAGAGGUGAAAUUCGUAGAGAUCAGGAAGAACAUCGGUGGCGAAGGCGCUCUGCUGGACCAUAACUGACACUCAGGGACGAAAGCUAGGGGAGCGAAUGGG
rnacentral:rRNA from 1 species